GUUGCCAGGCUGUGGAGAAUCCAGUCACCAAUCUAUGCAGGCCCACAAGUUGCCUGAGGGCUUGUUGUUGGGUGGGGCCAGUCUCUAGGGUGGGUUGCCUGCCCUGGCUGAGCUGGAUUAAAUCGCUGCUCUAGCUGGUGGAGCAGACCCUGGGCUAGCAGGCCUCAGGGAGAACUCCAAUGGCGUCUGUGUCAGCACGCUCACACCAGGCCACAACAAUGGCCCCCGCCAAUGUCCCAGUCCCUGGAGAGGUCUCACCCCUCACUGAGAUGCACUCAGGGCCUAUUAGAGUUGAAUAGUUGUGGCAAAGAGUCUAUGGCCCACAAAGCCUAAAAUAUUUACUAUCUGAACCUUUACAGAAAAAUUUGCCAACUUCUGUAUCAGCUGCUGUGGGUGUGCAGAAUCAGAAUCCUAGAGCUGCAAAGUUUUUCAAGAGGACACCUGAUCCAGUCCUUGGAGUUCAGGGAGAUGAACUUCUUAGUCAACCAAGACAGAAAACUACUCAAGUUAUUCUGAGUGAACUCGAUAGAUGCAGACCCCAUCAGGAUUUUAUAUCCUUCUUUGGUUUGUGUAUCCACCACAACGGUCAAGAUACUGAGCAAUUCCAACAUUACAGACAGUUUGGAUUUCUACAUUUUAUUCGCCAGGAGUCUUCGGGUCAAGCAAAUGGUCUCAGCAAACGCUGUGGUGCUGGCUAGGAUGAGAACACUCCGAUGAACUUUUCCACCCAAAAUAACUAUGGAGAACAAGCAAACAGCCCGUCACUUGGCUCGCAUGGGUAAGCCAGUCUGCAUACUGAAAAUGGUGCAGCUGACCUAGAUAUGAGUCAAUUUUGGACCCUGAGGAGAAUACGGUCAUAUCUUUUUCCCUGAAAUGGACUCUGUGUAGUGCUUUCUUUAGUGGGUGGGGAGGGGGUCAUAGUCAAAAGAGAAGUUGAAGUCUUUGAUAGGAGCAUCAGAGGAGGGAUGAGUAUUCCAGAAGGAAGUUAACUAAUGACAUUGAAUAGGAGAAAAAGAAAUUUAAAAGGUUAAGAUUUUUUGAGAAAUGAUAACAUAAUUCUGGAGAUGUGAGAAAUCAGUAGACACGGCCCUUUAAGGACUUUGGUGAGAUAGAAUGAAAAGUCAUAUGUCAUUGUGGGAAAUUAGCGACAAGUAGGCCAGAGUCUUGGAGAGUCAAGGAGUAGUAAAGUAAGUGCAACAAGGAGAGGAAUCUUUGCAAGUUGUUGAAAACCCUUUUCAUCACAUCUUUACUUGUAUCCACUUCUCUAACUUGCCUUCCUAAUAUUAUAUACUGUCUCUCAUGCUCAUGGUAAAUAAAGAUGAUGUAGUACUUGGAUGAAUGUGCAGAAACCAACUGCUAUGGACUGAAUUGUGUCUUCCACCCCCUAAAUUCAUGUGUUAAAACCCUAACCCCCAUUGUGGUUGUAUUUGGAGGUAGGGCUUUUAGGGGGAAAUUAAGGUUAAAUGAGGUCUGAAGGGUGGAGUCCUAAUCUGAUAGGA